AACUGCGGCGUUCUGCUGGCAAAACAUAGCUUCGGUUAUGUCAAUGGCUAUUGGAUUGGUCCAUGAAGCGAAAAAUAGUUUACUGUGUCACUCGUACCGAUAACCGCAUCAGGUCUUCUAGGUAAGUAGCCUAUGGCCAUUGAGGCAUGAUAGUUCAGGGAAUUCGGCCAAUUAGAGCUGUAACUUCGGGAUAAAGCUUGGCUCUGAUGAAAAUCAGAACCGAUUGUUACGCGGAGAGCCCAACUGUUUAAUAAAAACGUAGUGUCGCGCUGUGGUAGUAUAGCCAGUGAACGCGACAUGAAUCCUGCUCAGUGCUGUGUCUGUUAAUAUGGUUCAAGCCAACGAAGCACCGGUAAAUAGCUGGGGUAACUAUGACUCUUAUCAAAGUAGCGAAAUACCUCGUCACUUAAUUAGUGACCUGCAUGAACGGAGCUAUGAGGUUCUCACUGUCCCAAACUGUCUCUCAGCGAACCAACUGUAGUGGGAACGGUCACUAGAUAUCCAGCGGGGAAAGAAGACCCUGUAGAGCUUCACUUUGGUCUAGUCUUGUAUAGUUCCUGCGGGGGUGUAGACUAGGUGGGAGAGCAAUCGAUUCUGAAAAACCACUACCCUGUUUGGAAUUAUGCUUACCUAUCACAAGGAAUAGGACUAGAUAGAAAGUUUGGCUGGGGCGGCACACCUUCGAAAGAGCAGCGAAGGUGUCCUAAGUUGAGCUCAGUGAGGACAGAAAUCUCACGUUGAGGAUAAGGCCAAAAGCUCAAUUUACUGUGCCUUUUUGUACUAGGAUCAGUUACGAAAGUACGCCUAACGAUCCCUAAAUAGCCUCAGUGCGUGAGGAUUGGGGUGACAGACAAGUUACCUCCAGGACACUGGCUUGUGGCUGCUAGAGAUCAAUCAACGCAGCUUUUGAUCUCGAUGUCGCUCUCCUAUCCUAGUGAUGUACAGUGCUAUGGUCGAUGUCACCGUAUUAGGAUCGUGAGCUGGGUUAGAC
rnacentral:ncRNA from 1 species